rnacentral:rRNA from 1 species
CCCUUAGAUGUUCUGGGCUGCACGCGCGCUACACUGAAGCGUUCAACGAGUAUUUCACCUUGCCCGGGAGGGUCGGGUAAUCUUUUUAAAACGCUUCGUGAUGGGGAUAGAUUAUUGCAAUUAUUAAUCUUCAACGAGGAAUUCCUAGUAAACGCAAGUCAUCAGCUUGCAUUGAUUACGUCCCUGCCCUUUGUACACACCGCCCGUCGCACCUACCGAUUGAAUGGUCCGGUGAAAUCUUCGGAUUGAGACUUUGAUUUCUUCACGGAAAACGCUGUUUUAAAAAGUUGAUUAAACCUUACCAUUUAGAGGAAGGUGAAGUCGUAACA